CAGCACGUCGGUUGCCGUCCCCGAGGGCAGCAACGUGAACUAUCACCUGUCGGAGCGACGACAAACCGCCUGUAAACCUCUACACUUGGUACAGAGUGGACGGCGGCGAGUUGACGAGGACGGGGGAGGGACAGACGCUGGUCCUGAAGGUCACUCAGAAGGACAGCGGGGCUCAUCUGUGCGAAGCUCGAACCCAGAAGCUCUCCCAGCGGUCCGGACCUGUGACCCUGGAGGUCAGCGCCGCCACAGGCAGCAGGUUGGCGGCGGCGGCUCCCUAAACCCUGUGUGGAGUGUUGCUGGUCGUCUACAUGGUGACUGUGGUGGUGGAUGUGUAUAAGUACCAGAG
ensembl:lncRNA